rnacentral:sRNA from 1 species
AGCUGAUGCACAUUGCGACCUCCCAGUCGCGCAGCAGCUGUUCCCCUCUGGAGGUUCAAGAUCUCCACACUUCAUGGGCCGCGUUCUCCGCAGGCCCAUUUUU